AAGUGACGUAAAUGAACCUGGCAAAACGGCGGAAAGGACGAAAGAAAAGUCUGAAAUGGUUCACGGAAAAACAGUUAAAACUACCAGGUUUAGCUUCGGUAAAUUGGGGAACAAGCUCUUACGUUGGUUGAUGACAAGGAAAGCAAUAAAAGUAAUUUAACCAUCAGUUCUGGCCUUCUCAACAUUGACUGGAUGCUACACAUGUAGGCAGAUGGAUUGAACAGCAAGAAGAUGAUAAACAGGCUGAAAUGAUGGAUGAGAGAGGGAAGAAGAUCUUUCAAUCAAUCUGUCAUCCGCAGUUCCUAUCUCAUCCGCAGGAAACAGAACUGAUGUCAUGGUCGAUACAGGCAGGCUUUUAUCAGUAUGUGUGUGUGGGAAGGGAGAGUUUAUGCAUGCAAGUAGUGUACAGUGCUUGUAUUUGUCAGAGGGUGGUGCAGGAAAGGUAUUAGUUAGUUUGUCUUCUUUCCAUGUGGUGGAAGUUUGUGUAGUUACGGUGUGUGUGUGUGUGUGUGUGUGUGUGUGUGUGUGUGUGUGUGUGUGUGUGUGUGUUUGAAUGUGCUGAAGUUAAGUAGUCAAACUGUCACCAUCUGCUGCCUGGAAAUACCCGCUGACAUUACACACUAGACAAUAUAAAUGCUCACUUCAGCAGUUGGCUGGGUGGGAGCAGCUCUCUUAAUCCAAAACAUGUGGGCUAUGCAAGUGUUUGCUAGUUUGAUCUGAUAUCGUUAAUUCCCUUACAAGAAAAUCCCCACCUAAAAGACUCUAUUAAAGGAAACGUUUUCUACAAAGGCCUAAUAGGCCUUUUUCACAGCAGCUAUUUUGACAUGUCACAGUUGGAUAAGCCUACCUGUCAAUAAUAACAUUAAUGAUGGCUGAAUUCCCUUUAGCUGAUUCAGUUUCGGGCUCCUGCUAUUAUGCAUGCUGGCUCACUGUCCCAGUCAAAACAGAACAGAGCUAUCUUGAGGAUUCGAAAUUAGCUACAGCUACAGGCGCUCCCUUGAAAGAGACGUGAGCUCCCCAGAAAGCCUCAUUUGAGAAAUUUAGAAGGAGCUCUACAAUAUUGUAAUUAAAAUUUUUUCUGUAUGAAUGUAUAUUUUCCUGUAUAUUUAGCUUUCUGAAAUAAAUAACAGGCUAGCAUAA